CAGGGACAGGUCGCAAGAAAGGCCAGCACAGGACCGAGUUCCGGCUGUGGAGCCUCAGGGCCGAAGGGACCCUAGAGUGUCACCAGGGCUCCACCGUCUUCCUGUCUGCUGGACGCUGCUUCCUCCUCACUUUCCACUAGUGAGGCUUACAAAAUGUGGGAGGCACCUGCUUCACAGUUUGAGAGGCCAGCCCUGGGCUGGUCAGAGCCCCAACCUGGCACAAGGGGGCUGCACCCACGCACAAGCACACCGCAGGCCUGAGAUGCUGCUGAGGACCUUCAGCCUUCACUGCUUCCACCCCCGACUCUGCCGUGAAAAUAGUUUGUCCUCUGAGUAAAAAGGUAAUGCGGAAGCAUCCACAUGAUGGUGGUGACUGGGCUCUGGCAAGUCAGCGUGGAAAGUGGCAGCUGGAAAUCUUCGCAGGCUUGGUUUGAGCGUGAUCCGUGGGGGAAGCAUCUGCCAGUGUCCAUCAACAGGGUGUGAGACCCCCCACACCCUGACAGGGAUGUCACCCAGCACCCAAGAGCAGAGCAGCCCAGUCUGUGCUAACAUUAAAGGAGCGGACAGCUUGCUGACCUGAGAAGCCAGGCAAAACCUGCACCGCACAGGCCCAUUAAGCGAAAACCAAUCGUCUCACUGGAAAGCCUCUUCCACACCCGGAUGCCUUCCUGGAGGUUUUCUAGCACAUGCGUUUCAUACAUAUUUAGAAAUAAACAGAGUUGGCCAGGCACGGUGGCU